AUCACGGGAAUUUUUUUAUUUUAACUUAUUUUAAAAUAAUAUUUUAAAAACAGCAUAUGAGAAUUUAAAAUUCUAGGAAGAAGCCCUUUUGGUCAUGCUAAAGCGAUUGGUGUGACUCCCCAUCUUAGUCGCGCUAUAUGAAUUGAUGUGACUAAGGAGCCACGCUGGCAGCCGUACCGACACCUUGCCACACAUCGUUGAUAUGGUAGCCCUGAGUCACGCCAUAGGGGUUGGCACAACCGUCUGUUAUGCCAAUCCCUUUAGCGUGACUCAGCUGCAUACAGAGAUCGUGUCAGCUCUUCUCUCACAUAGCUCCUCUUCCUCCUCCCAAGUACUUGUUUUCUCCCUUCUUUCCUUUUCUCUAAAUCCUUCAUCAAAUCCAACGAAUUCGGACCGAAAUCAAAUGAGAUUUCACAAGGGAUUGCUCAUUGAAGGAGUGAGAGAUGUGAUACUUCUUCCAAUGGAUUGAUGGGCAUGAAACGGUUUACUCUGUAUCCAAAGCCAUAUGAUAAGUUUGUUCGUUGGGUUCCUCCUCCACCAAAUCCACCAAAACUGACAAAUAAAGAGAAGUGGAAAGUGAGCAAAAGACAUGAGCAGAUCCUUCAUUGUGCAAUUAUGGGAAGCGAAGUGUGCUUUGUGAACCUUAUGGGAGGUCUCCUUACUUCCGUUGUGAAGGGAUGGUAAAAACUGAGCAUGGUUGCUUGUUUAUAGUUUAAAUGAGGUAGAAUUAGAUGUCAUGUAACUUGUAUCAUGAAUUUGAAUGCAGUGCCAUGAUGCUACUUAUAACUUACGAGAUUUAAUGUACGGGUCCCGAUGGUGAAUGUAUGGAGGAGGAAGAGGAUCAAGUGAAGAGGAAAAGGUUGAUAAAACCAUAUCGUCCAAGGAAGUGAACUUGUGGUGUCAAUGCUUGAUACGGGAUAGUGCCCAUUGAACUUGGUGUGAGGUACUACUGUGGACAUAUGGUUGGCAAGGACAUGGUUAGUUUCAGACAUAUUAUCUAUAUUUUCUGUUUCGAUAUCCUAUGUUGGUUGUACCUUGUUAAUGGGGAUUCAUAUGAAUUUGUUUUUGGGAAUAGAGUACGCGAACAUGUUCAUGGGAGGAGUACCUUGAUAAAGAUAAGGUGGAUCAUGAGAUUGCAUGGCGGAGUAAGCGUCAUCCGAUAGUACUGUCAAGCUAUCUGGAGCACCGUAAGAAGGCAACUCAUGAUUUUUAUCUUGCUAUGUAUCCCUAGCACAAGAGGAGAACCAUUGAGGGUUAAGAGGUAGCAGCUAAGGCAGUGCAAAUGGAGACAAUGAAGGCUCUUGGUGCUAACUGGCAUGUGAUUGUCCCGGACGAUGAUGAUGAGUUGCUCUAUGAUGGGUGGGAAGAUUAGCAUAAGGGGUCAGUUUGAUGGUUGCAUAGUUAGUGUCCUAUAUUAAUAUACUAUAUUAUGAACUAUUUGUGAACUUUAUGUGUAACCAUCGUCGAUUAUACUAUAUGAAUCAUAUGAACUGUUUUAUUUA